GCAGUGCGUGGCCGAAUGGUUACUGAUUACGCUGUCCGCUUUGUAAGCGGAUGAUUCUGGGUUCGAUUCCCAUCUGCUGCA
rnacentral:tRNA from 1 species